AUUGAACGCUGGCGGCAGGCCUAACACAUGCAAGUCGAGCGGCAGCGGGAAAGUAGCUUGCUACUUUUGCCGGCGAGCGGCGGACGGGUGAGUAAUGCCUGGGAAAUUGCCCAGUCGAGGGGGAUAACAGUUGGAAACGACUGCUAAUACCGCAUACGCCCUACGGGGGAAAGCAGGGGACCUUCGGGCCUUGCGCGAUUGGAUAUGCCCAGGUGGGAUUAGCUAGUUGGGGAGGGAAUGGCUCACCAAGGCGACGAUCCCUAGCUGGUCUGAGAGGAUGAUCAGCCACACUGGAACUGGGACACGGUCCAGACUCCUACGGGAGGCAGCAGUGGGGAAUAUUGCACAAUGGGGGAAACCCUGAUGCAGCCAUGCCGCGUGUGUGAAGAAGGCCUUCGGGUUGUAAAGCACUUUCAGCGAGGAGGAAAGGUUGAUGCCUAAUACGUAUCAACUGUGACGUUACUCGCAGAAGAAGCACCGGCUAACUCCGUGCCAGCCGCCGCCGUAA
rnacentral:rRNA from 1 species